rnacentral:rRNA from 1 species
GUCAGGACGAACGCUGGCGGCGUGCCUAAUACAUGCAAGUCGAGCGGACCGACGGGAGCUUGCUCCCUUAGGUCAGCGGCGGACGGGUGAGUAACACGUGGGUAACCUGCCUGUAAGACUGGGAUAACUCCGGGAAACCGGGGCUAAUACCGGAUGCUUGAUUGAACCGCAUGGUUCAAUCAUAAAAGGUGGCUUUUAGCUACCACUUACAGAUGGACCCGCGGCGCAUUAGCUAGUUGGUGAGGUAACGGCUCACCAAGGCGACGAUGCGUAGCCGACCUGAGAGGGUGAUCGGCCACACUGGGACUGAGACACGGCCCAGACUCCUACGGGAGGCAGCAGUAGGGAAUCUUCCGCAAUGGACGAAAGUCUGACGGAGCAACGCCGCGUGAGUGAUGAAGGUUUUCGGAUCGUAAAACUCUGUUGUUAGGGAAGAACAAGUACCGUUCGAAUAGGGCGGUACCUUGACGGUACCUAACCAGAAAGCCACGGCUAACUACGUGCCAGCAGCCGCGGUAAUACGUAGGUGGCAAGCGUUGUCCGGAAUUAUUGGGCGUAAAGCGCGCGCAGGCGGUUUCUUAAGUCUGAUGUGAAAGCCCCCGGCUCAACCGAGGGAGGGUCAUUGGAAACUGGGUGAACUUGAGUGCAGAAGAGGAGAAUGGAAUUCCACGUGUAGCGGUGAAAUGCGUAGAGAUGUGGAGGAACACCAGUGGCGAAGGCGACUCUCUGGUCUGUAACUGACGCUGAGGCGCGAAAGCGUGGGGAGCGAACAGGAUUAGAUACCCUGGUAGUCCACGCCGUAAACGAUGAGUGCUAAGUGUUAGAGGGUUUCCGCCCUUUAGUGCUGCAGCAAACGCAUUAAGCACUCCGCCUGGGGAGUACGGUCGCAAGACUGAAACUCAAAGGAAUUGACGGGGGCCCGCACAAGCGGUGGAGCAUGUGGUUUAAUUCGAAGCAACGCGAAGAACCUUACCAGGUCUUGACAUCCUCUGACAACCCUAGAGAUAGGGCUUCCCCUUCGGGGGCAGAGUGACAGGUGGUGCAUGGUUGUCGUCAGCUCGUGUCGUGAGAUGUUGGGUUAAGUCCCGCAACGAGCGCAACCCUUGAUCUUAGUUGCCAGCAUUCAGUUGGGCACUCUAAGGUGACUGCCGGUGACAAACCGGAGGAAGGUGGGGAUGACGUCAAAUCAUCAUGCCCCUUAUGACCUGGGCUACACACGUGCUACAAUGGGCAGAACAAAGGGCAGCGAAGCCGCGAGGCUAAGCCAAUCCCACAAAUCUGUUCUCAGUUCGGAUCGCAGUCUGCAACUCGACUGCGUGAAGCUGGAAUCGCUAGUAAUCGCGGAUCAGCAUGCCGGGGGAAAAACCUUUCCCGGGCCCUUGUACACACCGCCCGUCACACCACGAAGAGUUUGUAACACCCGAAGUCGGUGAGGUAACCUUUUUGGAGCCAGCCGCCGAAGGUGGGACAGAUGAUUGGGGUGAGCU